AUUGAACGCUGGCGGCAGGCCUAACACAUGCAAGUCGAACGAGCGGCGGACGGGUGAGUAAUGUCUGAGCAACUGCCUGAUGGAGGGGGAUAACUACUGGAAACGGUAGCUAAUACCGCAUACCAUCGGAUGUGCCCUGAUGGGAUUAGCUAGUGGGUGGGGUAAUGGCUCACCUAGUCAACGAUCCCUAGCUGGUCUGAGAGGAUGACAAGCCACACGUGAACUGAGACACGGUCAAGACCCCUACGGGAGGCAGCAGUGGGGAAUAUUGGACAAUGGGCGGAAGGCUGAUGUAGCCAUGCGGCGUGUGUGAAGAAGGCCUUCGGGUUGUAAAGAACUUUCAGCGAGGAGGCGUUACUCGCAGAAGAAGCACCGGCUAACUCCGUGCCAGCAGCCGCGGUAAUAC
rnacentral:rRNA from 1 species